rnacentral:rRNA from 1 species
GAGUUUGAUCCUGGCUCAGAGCGAACGUUAGCGCGGGCCUAACACAUGCAAGUCGCGCGAGAAAGGGGGCAACCCCGAGUAAAGCGGCGCACGGGUGAGUAACACGUGGGUAAUCUACCUUCGGUGGGGGAUAACCUCCGGAAACGGGGGCUAAUACCGCAUGAGACCACGACUGCUUCGGCGGACGUGAGAAAAGUCGGCCUCUCCAUGGAAGCCGGCGCCCGAAGAUGAGCCCGCGCCCCAUCAGCUAGUUGGUAGGGUAACGGCCUACCAAGGCGAAGACGGGUAGCUGGUCUGAGAGGAUGGUCAGCCACACUGGCACUGGAACACGGGCCAGACUCCUACGGGAGGCAGCAGUGAGGAAUAUUGGGCAAUGGGCGCAAGCCUGACCCAGCCACGCCGCGUGAGUGAUGAAGGCCUUCGGGUUGUAAAGCUCUGUGGGGAGGGACGAAAAAGGUCCGGAGUAACAUGCCGGGCACUUGACGGUACCUCCUUAGCAAGCACCGGCUAACUCUGUGCCAGCAGCCGCGGUAA